GUAGUGGUGAUUCAGUGGUAGAAUUCUUGCCUUCCACGUAGGAGAUGGGGUUUGAUUCCCAGCCAGUGCA
rnacentral:tRNA from 1 species